CCUACGGGUGGCUGCAGUAGGGAAUCUUCCGCAAUGGACGAAAGUCUGAAGGAGCAACGCCGCGUGAGCGAUGAAGGUCUUCGGAUCGUAAAGCUCCGUUGUUAGGGAAGAACAAGUACGGGAGGAAAUGACCGUACCUUGACGGUACCUGACGAGGCAGCCACGGCUAACUACGUGCCAGCAGCCGCGGUAAUACGUAGGAGGCAAGAGUUGUCCGGAAUUAUUGGGCGUAAAGCGCGCGCAGGCGGUGUUUUAAGUCUGAUGUGAAAUGUUGCGGCUUAACCGCUAGCGGUCAUUGGAAACUGGGUGGCUUGAGUGCAGCAGAGGGAAGCGGAAUUCCACGUGUAGCGGUGAAAUGCGUAGAGAUGUGGAGGAACACCGAUGGCGAAGGCGGCUUUCUGGGAUGUAACUGACGCUGAGGCGCGAAAGCGUGGGGAGCAAACAGGAUUAGAUACCCUAGUAGUC
rnacentral:rRNA from 1 species